AGCAGUAGCCGCGGUAAUACAGAGGCCUCAAGCGUUGUUCGGAUUCAUUGGGCGUAAAGGGUGCGUAGGUGGCUUGGUAAGUUGAAGGUGAAAUCUCGGGGCUUAACCCCGAAACUGCCUUCAAUACUGCUAGGCUCGAGGACUGUAGAGGAGAAUGGAAUUCACGGUGUAGCAGUGAAAUGCGUAGAUAUCGUGAGGAAGACCAGUGGCGAAGGCGAUUCUCUGGGCAGUUCCUGACACUGAGGCACGAAGGCCAGGGGAGCAAACGGGAUUAGAUACCCGAGUAGUCCCUGUCUCUUAUAC
rnacentral:rRNA from 1 species